rnacentral:rRNA from 1 species
AAUGAACGCUGGCGGCGCGCCUAAUACAUGCAAGUCGAGCGAGAAGACGUAGCAAUACGUUUGUAAAGCGGCGAACGGGUGAGGAAUACAUGGGUAACCUACCCUCGAGUGGGGAAUAACUAGCCGAAAGGUUAGCUAAUACCGCGUACGCUUCUUGGACUUCGGUUCAGGGAGGAAAGCGAUGCCGAGGGUAUCGCGCUCUUGGAUGGGCUCAUGUCCUAUCAGCUUGNGGUGAGGUAACGGCUCACCAAGGCUUCGACGGGUAGCUGGUCUGAGAGGACGAUCAGCCACACUGGCACUGCGACACGGGCCAGACUCCUACGGGAGGCAGCAGUAAGGAAUAUUGGUCAAUGGCCGAAAGGCUGAACCAGCAACGCCGCGUGAGGGAUGAAGAUCUAAGGAUCGUAAACCUCUGUUAGAAGGGACGAAUAA